CAAUAGCGUAUAUUAAAGUUGUUGCGGUUAAAAGCUCGUAGUUGGAUUUCUGUCGAAGACUGCCGGUCCGCUCUAUGAGCGUGUAUCUGGUUAGGCUUUGGCAUCCUCUUGAAGAUCGUUGCUGCGCUUGAUUGCGUGGUGCGGAAUUCAAGACUUUUACUUUGAGGAAAUUAGAGUGUUCACGGCAGGCAAGCGCCAUGAAUACAUUAGCAUGGAAUAAUAAUAUAGGAUCUAGGUCCUAUUUUGUUGGUUUCUAGGACCAGGAUAAUGGUUAAUAGGGAUAAUUGGGGGCACUCGUAUCAUGACGUCAGAGGUGGAAUUCUUGGAUUGUCAUGCGACGAACUACUGCGAAAGCAUUUGCCAAGGAUGUUUUCAUUGAUCAAGAACGAAAGUAAGGGAUCGAAGACGAUCAGAUACCAU
rnacentral:rRNA from 1 species